GGGACACGUGGUAUCCUGUCUGAAUAUGGGGGGACCAUCCUCCAAGGCUAAAUACUCCUGACUGACCGAUAGUGAACCAGUACCGUGAGGGAAAGGCGAAAAGAACCCCGGCGAGGGGAGUGAAAAAGAACCUGAAACCGUGUACGUACAAGCAGUGGGAGCCUCUUAAUGGGGUGACUGCGUACCUUUUGUAUAAUGGGUCAGCGACUUAUAUUCUGUAGCAAGGUUAACCGAAUAGGGGAGCCGAAGGGAAACCGAGUCUUAACUGGGCGUUAAGUUGCAGGGUAUAGACCCGAAACCCGGUGAUCUAGCCAUGGGCAGGUUGAAGGUUGGGUAACACUAACUGGAGGACCGAACCGACUAAUGUUGAAAAAUUAGCGGAUGACUUGUGGCUGGGGGUGAAAGGCCAAUCAAACCGGGAGAUAGCUGGUUCUCCCCGAAAGCUAUUUAGGUAGCGCCUCGUGAAUUCAUCUCCGGGGGUAGAGCACUGUUUCGGCAAGGGGGUCAUCCCGACUUACCAACCCGAUGCAAACUGCGAAUACCGGAGAAUGUUAUCACGGGAGACACACGGCGGGUGCUAACGUCCGUCGUGAAGAGGGAAACAACCCAGACCGCCAGCUAAGGUCCCAAAGUCAUGGUUAAGUGGGAAACGAUGUGGGAAGGCCCAGACAGCCAGGAUGUUGGCUUAGAAGCAGCCAUCAUUUAAAGAAAGCGUAAUAGCUCACUGGUCGAGUCGGCCUGCGCGGAAGAUGUAACGGGGCUAAACCAUGCACCGAAGCUGCGGCAGCGACACUAUGUGUUGUUGGGUAGGGGAGCGUUCUGUAAGCCUGUGAAGGUGGCCUGUGAGGGUUGCUGGAGGUAUCAGAAGUGCGAAUGCUGACAUAAGUAACGAUAAAGCGGGUGAAAAGCCCGCUCGCCGGAAGACCAAGGGUUCCUGUCCAACGUUAAUCGGGGCAGGGUGAGUCGACCCCUAAGGCGAGGCCGAAAGGCGUAGUCGAUGGGAAACAGGUUAAUAUUCCUGUACUUGGUGUUACUGCGAAGGGGGGACGGAGAAGGCUAUGUUGGCCGGGCGACGGUUGUCCCGGUUUAAGCGUGUAGGCUGGUUUUCCAGGCAAAUCCGGAAAAUCAAGGCUGAGGCGUGAUGACGAGGCACUACGGUGCUGAAGU
rnacentral:rRNA from 1 species